UCUUGAAAUACUUGGUUUUGUACCUGUACUUCUUUAUAAAACCCCAAAGAAUUCAUGAGUUCUUAAAUUUGCCUUGGCUUAUAGCUUAACAUAGGAGAAAUAUUUCCAGCUUUUUCAGUCUUUCUGUGUGUGCUGCUGUAGCAAGAGGUUUGUAAAGGUCGAGAGGAAACAUUGCUACUUGUACAUCUCUGCCCUCUGCAGCUGGCACCACCCCUAGUCCUGCCAUUAAUCAAGGCUCUCCUCAAGACACAAACCACAUUUUUAUACAAGCUUGUCAUUGCUCUCCCCAGAGAUGGACUGUUUAAUGAAUGAUAGACUCCAUAUUACAUUGAUGAUGAGCCAACGAGCAAGUCUGGGGAUGUUAGCAGUCUGUGGUUUGUAUAGUAAUGCCCUAUCCCUGGCCCAGAAUCAGGCAUUUAUUUG
rnacentral:lncRNA from 1 species